GGGUCCCUGAAAAUAAAUUAUUUUUUGUUAAUAAGGAAUAUGUACAUCUAAAUUAAUAGAAGAUAUUGCUUUUGACAAUAACUGUGAAACUAUGAAUUCAGUUUUAAUGGCAACAUUACUGUUGGUUUAUUUACAGUUAUACCAUACACUAAUGAGCAAAACAGUAACUUUCAAUAUUCAUGGAGCCCUUUGGAGUUGCAGAGGAGAAUAAUUAUCUUUGUACCAGGGACCUGCGAUGCCGAGGACGACACUCCACUGUCUGCAAAACAGCUUGGUUGAGAAGGGCUACCUCAGCAUCCCGUGCAACAUACUGCGGAGUGCUGGCCAUGUACAGCUGCGGUGUUUUGACGAUGUCAGGAUGCCCCGGCAGCUGACUCAGUGGCCUUUGUCCCCGUUGCCUCAGCCCCACUUGCUGGAAGCUGCAGGGUGGCCUGCUGUGUGUUUCUUCGGCAUCAUGGUUAAGAUCGCAGGCGACAAGAGCCUGCGAUCCGACAGCCAAAUCUGUGCCCUCGCCUCACGAUGCCUCCAGCGUGUAUUGGGAGACAACAAGACUGCCCACAGUAGUGAGCCGUUCAAGUGGCCUGCUACUGGCUGGUUAUGGACCCCAUGUUAGCCUCAGAGGGUCACACCAGUGACUCGCCGUGGACUGGAAUGCUGGUGCCCCUUCUGCUGCUGCGUGUAGCUGGUGGUGUGACACGCCCCACCAUCCAUGAGAGCUGCACACUUGAAUCCCCCUCGUUAGAAAACUGGCACCUGUCUAUACGCGGCUGUGCACGUCUGUUUUGCUAAUGUGCCACUCCGAGUCAUGUACUCAUAACACCUAGGUUGGGCCAGUGGAGCCCUUCUGCCUGUAACUUGAGCCAUGCAAACAGCUGUAUUUACUUUUUUCAGUGGUUCUAUAGCACUGUGGCCUCCAUUCUACUUCACAACUGCUGGUAAGUAUAACUUACUGUCAACAGGCCUGCGUCUGGCAGUAACUUGUGCGCUCAGAAAUAUUACACCGAAUCUAACUUUUUCCUAUCUUAAACGGUGGUGCCACUACAUAUCCUAUGAUGAUGAUAUCAUUGAGGCACUGUUGGAAUCGGCCUACUCAUAAAAAUACUUGGUUACAACACUUUGUAGUGAUUUAAAUGAUGACUCUAGAAAUAUACUACAACUCCCUACAUAUUAAUCACAUAGGGAUUGUAAGUGCAAUAUUAGAAUAACUGAUGUGUGCAGAAGCAUUCCAACAAUCAUUAUUCCUGCACUCCAUAUAUCAAUGGAACAGGAAGAAACCCUAAUAACUGAUACACUGGGAUGUACACUCUGCCAUGCUCUUCAUGGUGGUUUACAGAAUAUAGACGUAGAUGUAGAUUGAAAGUCCUCCAGUAAGUCUGUUGCAUGGAUAUUUGAACACUGCCCCGUCCAAAUAAAAGUCCAUUAUUACUCACUGCAUUGUUAGUCAUCACAUGUGCUUUGUUGCUGCUCCACAAUUUUCACAUUUUUGUACGUAAUAAACUAACACUGCAUGCCAUUGAAUGAAGUGUCACAGAUUCAGCUAAAUGAAAAAAUAUCCAAGCAAUUUGGACAUUUUUUAUGUGUAUAAACUGACUUCUGGAUUUUCUUUUGUGUUAGACCACUAUGGGCAGAUAGGCUUGAUUCAAAAAUCUAGGAUCUAAUGUUCUACUGUUCAUGUAGUUUUCACACAAUCACUCAUCAGUUGUGUCACUACACAUAUGUAUCACAAUAUAUUGUGUUUUUUUCCAUAUUUGCAAGUGCCUCAAAUAACUUGUACUAUAUUGUCAAUUGUAAAUUUAAUCUGUUAUCCUUAGAACAUCGUGCAUAACCUGUUUUGUAGUAAAUUGGUAUUUUUGAUUUACAGUUACUGUAGGAAACUAACAUGCCAUGUCUCAUUAGUCUUCUCUUUUAGUAUGAGUGGAUAUUGUCUACAUUUAUCACAAAUUAAUUUAAUUGUUGAAUUUGUUAAUGACUGUAAAUUGAAAAACCUUUUGAAGAAACAUUAUAUUUUUUAGAAAGUUUUUCUGUUGUCAUAAUAGAUAUCUUGUUCUGGCUGAUAAUUGCCUCAGUUCUAAAAGGCUAUGUGUAUAGGUACAUAGGGAAAAGUCCCGACACACUACGAAUAAAGUUAUUACCAAUGACAACAAACACUAUCGUGGCCCCUGUAAGCAUUGACAAAGAUGUAUUAUGCUACGCCGGGAGGCAAAUGACAUAUGAUGGAAACACCAUUCAAUUUUUUUGUCAAUUUAUUAUAUAGACUCUGUCUUUAGUUCUUGUGGGGAGAAGAGAUGUUCUUGUGAGAAGUGUGUCAUAUACGUUGUGUUGUCUGAAUACAAUUUUUUACGGAAGUAUGAAGUGUGAGAGUUCCUUUUUAGUACAAAAUCACGAAAUUUUUCUCUUCUUCCGCAUAUUACGCUAAUGCCAUGUCACUGUAGCUGCAUGCAUCUGAAGAGGAAGUCCGAUUAAAAUCAGUAUUUUACUCACAGUCAAAAAUGAGAACUAAUUAUGGUGGAAGAAGAAGCAUAUAACCAAAUUGUGUAAAUCUCAACAGCAUAGAGAAUACAGGAAUUGAUGUAAGUCAAAAGUGAAAGACAAUUCAUUCGCUGCAAAAUUCAUAAAAAUUA